rnacentral:rRNA from 1 species
AAAAGAAACUAACCAGGAUUCCCCCAGUAACGGCGAGUGAAGCGGGAAGAGCUCACGUUGUAAAUCUGCCUUCGGGCCGAAUUGUAGUCUGGAGAGGCGCGGCCAGCCGCUGCCCGGGGCGAAGUCUCUUGGAAAAGAGCAUCAAGGAGGGUGACAAUCCCGUUCUUGCCCCAGGGCGGCGUGCGUACGGUCCGUUUUCUAAGAGUCGAGUUGCUUGGGAUUGCAGCUCAAAGCGGGUGGUAAAUUCCAUCUAAAGCUAAACACGGGUGGGAGACCGAUAGCGAACAAGUACCGUGAGGGAAAGAUGCAAAGAACUUUGAAAAGAGAGUUAAAGAGUGCCUGAAAUUGCUGAAAGGGAAGCGAAGGAAACCAGUGUAUGGCGUCGAAGCUUUCCCUCCGCCCCUCGGGGCUCUGGGUCGCGUCUUCGCCUUGGCCAGGGUCGGGUAUGGUUGCGGGAGUCUGCGUCGGGGAAGGUAGCCUCUCUUCGGAGGGUGAAGACCCCGGCGUGUCGUCGCGACUGUGGCCGGCUCUGACGAAAUGGUUUUCUUUACCCCGUCUUGAAACAC